UACGUAGGGGGCUAGCGUUGUCCGGAUUUAUUGGGCGUAAAGAGCGUGUAGGCGGCCAGGUAGGUCUGCUGUGAAAACUCGAGGCUUAACCUCGAGAUGUCGGCGGAAACCAUCUGGCUAGAGUCCGGAAGAGGAGAGUGGAAUUCCUGGUGUAGCGGUGAAAUGCGCAGAUAUCGGGAAGAACACCCGUGGCGAAGGCGGCUACUCUGGGACGGUACUGACGCUGAGACGCGAAAGCGUGGGGAGCGAACAGG
rnacentral:rRNA from 1 species